rnacentral:lncRNA from 1 species
CCAAACACUUUCCUUUGGCUUGCUAAUCACACUUUUCAUUUUUUUCCCCCCUCUCUCUUCCUCCCCUAUUCUUUGUGUGCUUCAGAGUUGGUAUUUAAGCAACAGCAAAUCAAAGACUCCUUCCCUUUGCACAAAGAUGCCUCCUUCACUUGAAAAGAGUAAAGCACAAAUGAUGUAGCACAAUUUGUAUUUCUUUUUCCCCCCUUUUUUUCUCGGGGGUGGGGGGGGAUCGUCUUCACUUUAUUAAGGAAAAUCAAAAUAGCUGCCUUUUAAAAAGCAAAAGUGGAUGCACUGUCCGCACUUUUUCAGAUCGUCAUGAAAAAAGAAUAAUUAGCCCACGCGAAAAGAGGAGAAUCGGUGACGUACAGAUGAGCAACUUUACAAUGCUUUCAUACAGAGGGUAUUCGUGCUGUACGAAUACAGGGUGGAAAUAUGUUCCAAAGCAAAACUACGAAACAUGA